rnacentral:rRNA from 1 species
UGGGCAAUCUGCCCUUCACUCUGGGACAAGCCCUGGAAACGGGGUCUAAUACCGGAUAACACUCUGUCCCGCAUGGGACGGGGUUAAAAGCUCCGGCGGUGAAGGAUGAGCCCGCGGCCUAUCAGCUUGUUGGUGGGGUAACGGUCCAUCAAGGCGACGACGGGUAGCCGGCCUGAGAGGGCGACCGGCCACACUGGGACUGAGAUACGGCCCAGACUCCUACGGGAGGCAG